rnacentral:pre_miRNA from 1 species
UAGACAAAUUUUUGUAUUCGACUGUAUUCACGGCGUGAAACAUGGGAUUACACUGUUUUUAAACGGAAAGUGAACCAAUUAAUAUAAUAGACUCCU